GUAAAUCGAAACGUAAUUUGGAAGCUGCAUCUCCAACUGAAAUGACGUAGCGUGGUUUUAAUAUCGAUUCCGAGCAAUCCAAAAAUCUACACAAUUUCAAAAUCAGAUAACCAUUACGAAAUCUUAAAGAAAUCAAACAAGAUCUGUGGUAUAUCAGUGAAGCCAAGAGCCAUGUGUAAGCCAGAUAAACAUGAUAAAAAUGUAGAUAUAAUAAAAUGAGUAUAAAGAUACACUUUGAUAAUGAAAUUCAAUUUUGCUUGUGAUCUUGAAUAUUGUUUCUUCAGUUUGAAUACACAUCUGUUCUAACUGCAUGACAUGGAGUAAUAUGAUGUAAAGAAAUAAAUAAAAGAAAGUUUUUAAUCAA